UACGAAGGGGGCUAGCGUUGUUCGGAAUUACUGGGCGUAAAGCGCACGUAGGCGGAUAUUUAAGUCAGGGGUGAAAUCCCGGAGCUCAACUCCGGAACUGCCUUUGAUACUGGGUAUCUGGAGUAUGGAAGAGGUGAGUGGAAUUCCGAGUGUAGAGGUGAAAUUCGUAGAUAUUCGGAGGAACACCAGUGGCGAAGGCGGCUCACUGGUCCAUUACUGACGCUGAGGUGCGAAAGCGUGGGGAGCAAACAGG
rnacentral:rRNA from 1 species